rnacentral:rRNA from 1 species
CGCAGCCGCGGUAAUUCCAGCUCCAAUAGCGUAUAUUAAAGUUGUUGCAGUUAAAAAGCUCGUAGUUGAAUUUCGGGGUCAGUAGGUCGGUCGUGCCACUGGUAUGAACUGGUUUUACUGAUUCCUCCCUCUUGAAGAACUGUAAUGCCAUUAAUUUGGUGUUGCAGGGAAUCAGGACUGUUACUUUGAAAAAAUUAGAGUGUUUAAAGCAGGCUUUAGCUUGAAUACAUUAGCAUGGAAUAAUGAAAUAGGACGUUUGAUCCUAUUUUGUUGGUUUCUAGGAUUGACGUAAUGAUUAAUAGGGAUAGUUGGGGGCAUUAGUAUUCAAUUGUCAGAGGUGUAAUUCUUGGAUUUAUUGAAGACUAACUACUGCGAAAGCAUUUGCCAAGGAUGUUUUCAUUAAUCAAGAACGAAAGUUAGGGGAUCGAAGACGAUCAGAUACCGUCGUAGUCUUAACCAUAAACUAUGCCGACUAGGGAUCGGAUGAUGUUAAUUCUUUAAUGACUCA